rnacentral:lncRNA from 1 species
GAAUAAUCUUAUCGUCUGUGAGAACUCACAGCAGAGUUCCCCUUAACACAGUCUCAUUUGGACACAAGUUUUCAGAUGAAAAUUGUCACUACUGAUGAGCAAAGAUAGAGCUGGACAGAUCAGGCAACUUGCCUCUACCUCCCCAACGAUCGCAGAAUGUCACUUCUUCACCAUGAAGCCGAAGUUUAUCAUACCCCAAGAAGACACCUGGGGAGGUCUCCGUGCACACACAGGGCCUGCGGCUCCACCGAGGCUGUUGCCGGGGAAGGGGGACACCACAACGCCUGAAUGGAGGUUCAGAUUAUUCUUAACGCUGAGCACCUUGAACUUAUAAUUCUUAGGGGACAGAAAUCUGAGUCCCAAGAUGUCUUCAAAUUAGAAGCCAUAUUGAAAAAACUCUCGUUUAAAACCAGACUCACAGUGGUUCUGCCGCCUGCCUAUAGCGCAAGGUCCCAAGUUCAAUCCCUGGUACCAAAAAAAUAAAAUAAAACCAGACUCAGAUCUUUACAGAAUAGGUCAGAUCUGUAGUAAUUUAAAUUCUGUCUAUAAUUUUAUUAUUCUAAAAACCAUUUUAGAAGCAUAAUGCUCACUAUUCUGAGCCAAGGAUGUUACUAGAAUUACCUUUGACCACACUGUAUUUGAAUAAGGUUUUAUGAUAUUCUGUUUGUGAUACUUAAUAGCUGUGUGACUUUAAGCAAAUUUUAAAAUUUCUCUUAUUUCAGUUUCAUAAUCUAUAAAAUAAUGAAGGUUAUGGCAGGGAUUAAAUGUAUUAAUGUACCUGACACGUAAUAACCAGUUUGUAAAUAUUCAUUGUCAACAUUAUCAUCCACUUAUUAACUCGUAAUUUUUACAGAAAAGCCAUCAGCACAAAAUUAAUAAAAUCAUUGUAACACAAUUCUUGCAUUCUCAAAAUUUAAAGAUAUUUUUAAAAAUAGGUUCCUAAAACCCCAAUUACUAUUAACUUGGCUCAGAAUUAACUACUCUAAGCACAUUCGUAUCCUUUCUAGUUGCCCACUUCCAC